rnacentral:rRNA from 1 species
AAUGAACGCUGGCGGCAUGCCUUACACAUGCAAGUCGAACGGCAGCAUGACCUAGCUUGCUAGGUUGAUGGCGAGUGGCGAACGGGUGAGUAAUGCAUCGGAACGUGCCUUUUAGUGGGGGAUAACGUAGCGAAAGUUACGGUAAUACCGCAUAUUCUCUGAGGAGGAAAGCAGGGGACCUUCGGGCCUUUCGCUAGAAGAGCGGCCGAUGUCGGAUUAGCUAGUUGGUGAUGUAAAGGCUCACCAAGGCAACGAUCCGUAGCGGGUCUGAGAGGAUGAUGCGCCACACUGGGACUGAGACACGGCCCAGACUCCUACGGGAGGCAGCAGUGGGGAAGUUUGGACAAUGGGCGCAAGCCUGAUCCAGCCAUGCCGCGUGAGUGAAGAAGGCCUUCGGGUUGUAAAGCUCUUUCGGCUGGGAAGAAAUCGCACCCUCUAAUACAGGGUGUGGAUGACGGUACCAGCAUAAGAAGCACCGGCUAACUACGUG